GAUGAACGCUGGCGGCGUGCCUAAUACAUGCAAGUCGAGCGAACAGACGAGGAGCUUGCUCCUCUGACGUUAGCGGCGGACGGGUGAGUAACACGUGGAUAACCUACCUAUAAGACUGGGAUAACUUUGGGAAACCGGAGCUAAUACCGGAUAAUAUAUUGAACCGCAUGGUUCAAUAGUGAAAGACGGUUUUGCUGUCACUUAUAGAUGGAUCCGCGCCGCAUUAGCUAGUUGGUAAGGUAACGGCUUACCAAGGCGACGAUGCGUGGCCGACCUGAGAGGGUGAUCGGCCACACUGGAACUGAGACACGGUCCAGACUCCUACGGGAGGCAGCAGUAGGGAAUCUUCCGCAAUGGGCGAAAGCCUGACGGAGCAACGCCGCGUGAGUGAUGAAGGUCUUCGGAUCGUAAAACUCUGUUAUUAGGGAAGAACAAAUGUGUAAGUAACUAUGCACGUCUUGACGGUACCUAAUCAGAAAGCCACGGCUAACUACGUG
rnacentral:rRNA from 1 species